UACGUAGGUGGCAAGCGUUGUUCGGAAUUAUUGGGCGUAAAGGGCGCGUAGGCGGCUUGUUAAGUCAGUUGUGAAAGCCCGGGGCUCAACCCCGGAGGGUCGACUGAUACUGGUAAGCUGGAGUACAGAAGAGGUAGCUGGAAUUCCCGGUGUAGCGGUGAAAUGCGUGAGAUAUCGGGGAGGAACACCAGAGGCGAAGGCGGGCUACUGGGCUGAUGACUGACGCGUGAUGCGCGAAAGCUGGGGGAGCAAACAGGAU
rnacentral:rRNA from 1 species